rnacentral:sRNA from 1 species
GCCAGGCAUGGUGGCCCACACCUGUAAUCCCAGCAGCUCAGGAGGCUGAGGCAGGAGGAUCACUGAGUUCAAAGCCAGCCGCCUCAGCAAGGUCGAGUGCUAAGCAACUCAGUGAGACCCUGUCUCUA